GCCCAAGGAUAGGUCUGUGGCCGAUUAGGUUGUUGUUGAUGUAACGGAUCAACAAGCCUACGAUCGGUACGGGUUGUGAGAGCAAUAGCCCGGAGAUGGGUUCUGAGAGAAGAACCCAGGUCCUACGGGACGCAUCAGGCGCGAAAACUUUACAAUGUGCGAAAGCACGAUAAGGGAACUCUGAGUGCCUCCUAAGGAGGCUGUUCAGAUGUUUAAAAAGCAUCUGGAGGAAGGGCUGGGCAAGACCGGUGCCAGCCGCCGCGGUAACACCGGCAGCCCAAGUGGUAGUCAUGCUUACUGGGUCUAAAGCGUCCGUAGCCGGCUAGGUAAGUUCCUUGGGAAAUUUGAUCGCUUAACGAUCAAGCUACCUGGGAAUACUACUUGGCUUGGGACCGGGAGAGGUCAGAGGUACUUCAAGGGUAGGGGUGAAAUCCGUUAAUCCUUGGGGGACCACCAGUAGCGAAGGCGUCUGAUCAGACCGGAUCCGACGGUGAGGGACGAAGGCUAGGGGAGCGAAGCGGAUUAGAUACCCGCGUAGUCCUAGCUGUAAACGAUGCGGGCUAGGUAUUGGCAUUACUGCGAGUGAUGCCAGUGCCGAAGGGAAGCCGUUAAGCCCGCCAUCUGGGGAGUACGGUCGCAAGGCUGAAACUUA
rnacentral:rRNA from 1 species